rfam:Camelus ferus unplaced genomic scaffold scaffold265, whole genome shotgun sequence.
GGAGAGUACAGCUCAGUGGCAGAGCACAUGCUUAGCAUGCAUGAGGUCCUGGGUUCAAUCCCCGGUCCCUCCA